GAUGAACGCUGGCGGCGUGCCUAAUACAUGCAAGUCGAGCGAACAGACGAGGAGCUUGCUCCUCUGACGUUAGCGGCGGACGGGUGAGUAACACGUGGAUAACCUACCUAUAAGACUGGGAUAACUUCGGGAAACCGGAGCUAAUACCGGAUAAUAUAUUGAACCGCAUGGUUCAAUAGUGAAAGACGGUUUUGCUGUCACUUAUAGAUGGAUCCGCGCCGCAUUAGCUAGUUGGCAAGGUAACGGCUUACCAAGGCAACGAUGCGUAGCCGACCUGAGAGGGUGAUCGGCCACACUGGAACGGAGACACGGUCCAGACUCCUACGGGAGGCAGCAGUAGGAAAUCUUCCGCAAUGGGCGAAAGCCUGACGGAGCAACGCCGCGUGAGUGAUGAAGGUCUUCGGAUCGUAAAACUCUGUUAUUAGGGAAGAACAAAUGUGUAAGUAACUAUGCACGUCUUGACGGUACCUAAUCAGAAAGCCACGGCUAACUAC
rnacentral:rRNA from 1 species